CUCCUAAAUUAACACCAUUGAGACUCACAGUGAACUUCCUAAUCAAAAUAAAUACAUUCUUUUAUAACCCUUGUGAUGGAUGCUGUGGGUUAGCUAGCUCAACGUGCAACCCUGCUCCUUCUGGUUGGAAAGAUUGGGAAUCUGAGAAUGAUCUUUCCAAAACUCCCUUACAGAUAGGGUUCUGGACAUGAGUUGUGUUCUGUCUGGUGCGUGCAAUCAUGUGAGAGGUAGAAGGUAGAAAUGAGGCCCAUUUUCCUGCCAUGUUUUGGUUGUUUUGUUCUGCAGCAGUGUUCCAGGUGCUAUUCUCAGCUUUCUGAGUGCGAGAGCAGUUGGAGCAGUAACGAUGAUGCCUUGAUUCCAGCUUCCUGGCCACUGGAACACAGCAGCAAAGCUGGGUGCCUGAACUCACGGUUCUAGUGACAGUCUCAGGGGGAGUGCAUCCCCUGAGUGCCAGAGCCACAUGAUUCUUGGACCCUGAAAGCAAUGCAGGUCUUCAAUCCUGAACCAACAGAUCCGGCUGUGAAAGGUGUCGGCCCUGGGAAGAGCACAGUCUCCAGAUGCAGCCAGUGAAGCUAAUGGACCAGGAGAACAAAGCCAGGGACUGUGGAGAGCAAGGGAGAGAGUUACCCUGUUUCUACUUUUCCAUUGCAUUUUGGGCACUGAGUGGAAGGAACUACACCUUCCUAUUCGUUUAUGGGCCAACAAACCAAAUGAUGCACUUCCAACCCAGCCAGAAAGGACUGCACAUCACCCAGAGCUCUUUGCUUUGAACUGAUUGUAGUGACUGGAAGGACUUUUGAAUUGUCUGCUUUGGGGAAGGAGUGAACGUGUUCCGUGUGUGGGAAGAAGAGCAUGCAUAUUUGAAAGGCAAGAGGAGAACUGCAGCAGGGACUCGUUGUCUACCAAGUCCCUUUUUCCCUUUAAUGAUAAAACUCCCAAGUUCUAGUGGGCAUAGGACUGCCAAGGUGUAAAAGAUAUCUCUCAGCAACACUUACAAUGUGGUGUCAUCUUAUGACUAAAUGUUGGCCCAUGGGACAUGGAUAGAAGUGAUUUGUGUCUCCUCAAAGUGGUACCCCCAAAAGGAGAGCAUUGUGUUCUCCUGUCCUUUCCCCCUCUCCGCUGGGUGGAAAAUGAGGAACUUCAGCAAAGCGGAAACACUUAUUAAGGAUGGUAGAGCCUCCCCCCUGGCCCUGACAUAAUUAAUUCUGGACUAUUACAUGACAGAAUUAUAUACCAUUGUCCUAUUCAAGCCACUAUAUAUGGGGUUGCUUUGUUCCAAAAGCUCAUCUUGUACUCUAACAUUUGUGGUUUACUAUACGAAUGUAGAAACAAAUACAAAAGGUAAUGGCUUAGCUGAACUGGUGGCAAAAUCUGGCCAACAUAGAAAUUAAAAUUAGAACGCCGUAUGAUAAUUACCAGUCGCUACCAUUGCAACCCCUGGGAUCUUCCAUUUCUGUGGUAUCUGUGGUGAUCCCCAGUGCAUCUUCAUUUCCAUCUCCUCCUCUCUUUUCAGAUUCUGGUGUCCUCAUUAUCUUUCCACUGACCCCUUCUCUGAACCCAUUAGAAUAAAUGGUAAAUAAAAGACAACUCACAUAUACUGAUCGCUUUCCCUAUGCCUGACACUAUAUAUGAUGUGAGGUAGACAGUAGUAUCAUCAUUCAUUCUCAGAGGAGAAAAGUACAGUUCAGAGAUAUUUAUUAUCUUCUCUUAAAGUCAUUUUUCUAAUAAGUGUGUGAAAAUCAGUCCCUCUCACUAAAACUUGAAGAUUUACAGUUAUACAUGGUUCUAUUAGUAUAAUUCCAGGUGUCUCGAAGUUGAAUAGAAUUCCUGUUUGUGUUCUGUGUAGAGCCACUGAGUCAUGGAACAGAAAUAUUAACCCAUGACUGAAAGCAUAUUAACACUUUUAACUCCUUUGGGCAAUUUUAAUUAAUGUAAUAAGGAUGCCAAUAUAAUGCAUAUGACUCUGGUGGCUUUUUUUUUCUUGUGUUAAUUAUUAAGCAUUCUAGGUAUUUUGCUAAUGUAUUAUGUGUUCUCUUUCCGUUAGGAAUAUCUAGUUCAGUGCUUUCCAUACUGCAGAUUUAUUGAAGGGAGCAUGAUAUCCUAAUGAAAUCAAUAUAUUCAUAGCCCAAUAUUAGCCAAAAAUAAAUAAACAAAAUAUAACAGAGUAUACCAAAAAAUAAAAGAUCAGUGUGCAUUGUACAUGGUAUAGGUGAGUAUUAUUGUGUGGGGAAAACAUGUAUUAGGAUUGAGAGAGAGCGAAAGAGGGGUGGAUAUCCAUGGUGUCUGGUAUGUAAAUUCCCUUAAUAAAAUUUUAAUGUAAUAGA